UACGUAGGGGGCUAGCGUUGUCCGGAAUCAUUGGGCGUAAAGAGCGCGUAGGCGGCUGGAAUAGUCCGGUGUGAAAUCCCACAGGCUUAACCUGUGAAUGGCCGCUGGAAACUGUCUGGCUAGAGUCCGGAAGGGGCGAGUGGAAUUCCUGGUGUAGCGGUGAAAUGCGCAGAUAUCAGGAGGAACACCAAUGGCGAAGGCAGCUCGCUGGGACGGUACUGGACGCUGGAGGCGCGAAAGCGUGGGGAGCAACAGGA
rnacentral:rRNA from 1 species